CAGGCUAUUAUUGGCUAAAUCCACCUGUUGAAGCGCAGGCAAGGCAAGGAACCACGAUUCUACUGCUCCGGUUAACGAGUUCUCGCUGAGUUCCACCACCUCCAACUGAGUUAACCCGUCAAAGGACCAUUUUGAUAAUGACCCAGAUAAAGAAUUGCUCUUUAAGGCUAGUUCUAGCAAGUUUGGAGGUAGCUUCGGUAAAGACCCAGUCAGCUUAUUGUAGCUAAGAUCGAAUCUCCUUAAACUAGACAUUGAAUUCAAGGCUUUAGGGAGAUACCCAGACAGAGAAUUAUGUGAAAUGUCCAAAGCUUCGAGGGAUUUAAGGUUGGUGAUUGAGGCAGGGAGUGAGCCAGAGAACCAAUUGGAACGGAGAAUCAAGUUCUGGAGGUUGAAAAGAGAGGAAAUGGAAGAUGGGAUAGGGCCAAAGAAAUUAUUAUCAGAGAGGUCAAGAAUAGUGAGAUUACUGAGUUGAGAAACAAGUGGGGUUAAUUGCCCUGAGUAGCCAACAGGAUCAAGAGUGAGUUGGGUGACUCGAGUUGAGUCAGAGGAGCAAGUGACGCCGCAGGUGAAGUGAGUCCGCCGAGGUAAGGCACAUGGGUCGGUGG
rnacentral:misc_RNA from 1 species